GAAGCUGCGGACUGUUCUUCGAACAGUGGUAGGAGAGCGUUCUAAGGGCUGUGAAGCAAGACCGGAAGGACUUGUGGAGCGCUUAGAAGUGAGAAUGCCGGUAUGAGUAGCGAAAGAGGGGUGAGACUCCCCUCCACCGAAUGCCUAAGGUUUCCUGAGGAAGGCUCGUCCGCUCAGGGUUAGUCGGGACCUAAGCCGAGGCCGAAAGGCGUAGGCGAUGGAUAACAGGUUGAUAUUCCUGUACCACCUCCUCACCAUUUGAGCAAUGGGGGGACGCAGGAGGAUAGGGUAAGCGCGGUAUUGGAUAUCCGCGUCCAAGC
rnacentral:rRNA from 1 species